CUCAAAGGUCAGAGCCGAGGGUCGCAGGGCAGUGGACGGAACGACACCUCCAUGUUCUCUUCCAAGAUGAUGUCAUAGCGACACAUUGAUGGUCUGAGGGGAGGAGAGAGAUUUGUUGGCUCCUACGUACCCCGCCAGGUGCGCUCCCAGACUAACACCAACCAGGUGCACCGAGUCCAGCGACGCCCCCUCCUCCUGAACACACACACACAGCCCAUGAACACCCUCAGACCACGCCCCCAGUCACCAUCUGACCACAGGACUGGAUAAUAGAGAGGAGACUUGGGAUUGGAGGAGAAAGAUGACAGGACUCUGGUGUGUGUGUUCCUCAGGGUUGACUCCAUAGUAGGGGACAGAGGACCUAGCAGGGACCACCAUGUAGAGGCAGGGUCAGGGGGGUGUGGUGCCUGAUGCUUUAUGUCUGUGUCCUGUUUGUGUACAGGUCACAGCUUUCACACACACACUCACUCACACACAUUGAGCCGUCUCCUGGUUUGAACCGUUCGAAACGAGGCUAGGCGAGGGUGAGAGAAAUGAUGAUGUACAUUUCCCCCUUCUACCAUUAGUCUCAGCAGCUGAUUAGAUAGCCUUGGCCUAAAAACAGGAAUCCUCUGAAAACAAUAGCACAGGAGAUGACUAUUUAACUUUUUGGAGUAUCUGGGUAUGUUAUCAGAUGGGACCUUUCAGUAAGUGUAAAAAAUACAUUAGUAUUCUGUUAGAUAGGCAACUGUUUACCUCAAGAUCAGCAGAGAAGGUUGAACUGUGUAUACUAUGAUCAUGGGGAAGUUAUUAGUAUCGAGGUAUAUUACUAUACAUUACCUUAAAGGUCAUGUAAGAAAGAUAUGAGUGUUAUAGCAGACAAAAGGAAAUUAU